rnacentral:rRNA from 1 species
AUCAAAAACAUGUCUUUAAGGGGAAAAUUUAAGGUCUGAUCUGCUCAAUGAGUAAUCUUAAAUAGCUGCAGUAUUUUAACUGUACAAAGGUAGCAUAAUAAAUAGUUUAUUAAUUGUAAACUUGAAUGAAUGAUUGGAUAAAAUAUUUACUGUUUAUUUUAAAGUUUGUAAAAUUUUAAUUUUAAGUAAAAAUGCUUAAAUAAGGUUAAGGGACGAGAAGACCCUAUAGAUUUUUAUAUUUAAGGUAAAUUUAUAGGUUUGGUUUAAAGGAAAUUUAUUUUGAAUAUUUUAAUGGGGAAUUAAGAAAAUAAUUUAAUUUUUUGUUUUAUUUUCAUUUGUGUAUGAUUAGAAUAAUAAUAAUACGUAAUUAAUAGAGAUAAAAAUGCCUUAUGGAUAACAGCAUAAUAAUUUUUUUAAGAUCAAAUUUUAAAAGUUGAUUGUGACCUCGAUGUAUG